GACAGAGGAUGCAAGCGUUAUCCGGAAUGAUUGGGCGUAAAGCGUCUGUAGGUGGCUUUUAAGUCCGCUGUCAAAUCCCAGGGCUCAACCCUGGACAGGCGGUGGAAACUACCAAGCUGGAGUACGGUAGGGGCAGAGGGAAUUUCCGGUCGGAGCGGUUGGAAAGUGACGUGAGAGAUACGGAAAAGAAACACCCAACG
rnacentral:rRNA from 1 species